CCCUUAGAUGUUCUGGGCUGCACGCGUGCUACACUGAUAUUGCCAAUAUGUCAUUCUUAUCCGAAAUGGAUUGGGUAAUCAAGUAAUGAAAUUUCAUGCUUGGAAUCGGUAAUUGCAAUUUUAUCGUGAACGAGGAAUUCCUAGUAAGCACUAGUCAUCAGCUAAUGUUGAUUAUGUCCCUGCCCUUUGUACACACCGCCCAUCGCUACUACUGAUUGGGUGUUCAAGUGAGAUGCUUAGACCCUUGUUGCAUGGUUCAUUAUUGUGCUCCGAAAGGAAAAAGUUUCAAGCUUGAGUGUCUAGAGGAAGUAAAAGUCGUAACA
rnacentral:rRNA from 1 species